CAGCCGCCGCGGUAAUACGAAGGGUGCAAGCGUUAAUCGGAAUUACUGGGCGUAAAGCGUGCGUAGGCGGUGAGUUAAGUCUGCUGUGAAAUCCCCGGGCUCAACCUGGGAAUGGCAGUGGAUACUGGCUCGCUAGAGUGUGUCAGAGGAUGGUGGAAUUCCCGGUGUAGCGGUGAAAUGCGUAGAGAUCGGGAGGAACAUCAGUGGCGAAGGCGGCCAUCUGGGACAACACUGACGCUGAGGCACGAAAGCGUGGGGAGCAAACAGGAUUAGAUACCCCGUAGUCCCUGUCUCUUAUACA
rnacentral:rRNA from 1 species